AAAAGUUCGUAACAAGGUCUCCGUUGGUGAACCAGCGGAGGGAUCAUUACCGAGUUUACAACUCCCAAACCCAAUGUGAACGUUACCAAACUGUUGCCUCGGCGGGGUCACGCCCCGGGUGCGUCGCAGCCCCGGAACCANGGGCCCGCCGGAGGAACCAACCAAACUCUUUCUGUAGUCCCCUCGCGGACGUAUUUCUUUACAGCUCUGAGCAAAAAUUCAAAAUGAAUCAAAACUUUCAACAACGGAUCUCUUGGUUCUGGCAUCGAUGAAGAACGCAGCGAAAUGNGAUAAGUAAUGUGAAUUGCAGAAUUCAGUGAAUCAUCGAAUCUUUGAACGCACAUUGCGCCCGCCAGUAUUCUGGCGGGCAUGCCUGUCCGAGCGUCAUUUCAACCCUCGAACCCCUCCGGGGGAUCGGCGUUGGGGAUCGGGACCCCUCACACGGGUGCCGGCCCCUAAAUACAGUGGCGGUCUCGCCGCAGCCUCUCCUGCGCAGUAGUUUGCACAACUCGCACCGGGAGCGCGGCGCGUCCACGUCCGUAAAACACCCAACUUUCUGAAAUGUUGACCUCGGAUCAGGUAGGAAUACCCGCUGAACUUAAGCAUAUCAAUAA
rnacentral:rRNA from 1 species